AUUCCAGCUCCAAUAGCGUAUAUUAAAGUUGUUGCAGUUAAAAAGCUCGUAGUUGGAUUUCUGGCAGGGGGCAACAGCCCGCUUGCAGCGUGUGCUUGCCGUCCCCUACCAUCCUUCUGUUAACGCGCCAGGACAUUCACUUGUCGGGCGCGGGCUCAGAUAAUUUACCUUGAGAAAAUUAGAGUGUUUCAGGCAGGCUGACGCCGGGAUACAUUAGCAUGGAAUAAUGGAAUAGGACUUUCGCCUCUUCUGUUGGUCUGAGGGGUGAUCGUAAUGAUUAAUAGGGAUAGUUGGGGGCAUUAGUACUUAACUGUCAGAGGUGAAAUUCUCGGAUUUGUUAAAGACUAACUUAUGCGAAAGCAUUUGCCAAGGAUGUUUUCAUCA
rnacentral:rRNA from 1 species